rnacentral:lncRNA from 1 species
CCCACUUCCUCCUUGUGCCCCGAAGGCCAGCCCGGCACUCAGGCCAGGGCACUUGGACACCACGCUGCAGGAGGCUGGUCUCGCCCAGGCCUCUGUGGGAAGGGCCGCCAGGCUGAGUGGAGGGCCAGCCACCAGCUACGGUGUCUUCCUUCGCAGAAGCUUUGGAGUCUCCCAAAAUGCCUGCUGGGUCUCUGCAGGACUGGCACCUGUCACCGGAACCUGUCUGGGAGGGACGAGAACACGCUUUGCAAGAGGAAGCUCUGCCUCACAGAGCCCUGGGCUCACUCAGGGACCCUGGCCAGCAGCUGCUUCCUCUCCCCACAGCGGAGAGAGACCCAAGGGUCCCAGGGCGGAUGCUUCCCACCAGGCCAGCCCAGCGUGCAGGGUGGCCUCGUAAGUCCUGAUUGACAUAUGGACAGUGGUUCAGAGAGGUUACGCUACUUGCUCAAGGUCACCCAGCUCCCAGGCCCCUGCUGUCUUCCAGGCCACUGAGGUCCUAAGCGUCCUUCCAGGCGAGCCACUGCUCACAGCCUGUUCCUCAUGUUCUGCGGCAGGUUUGUGUAUCUACAUCUUUUCCAGUUCCCUGUCGUCCCCCUUCCUACACCUCGUCAUCCACUAUCCCUGUUUGUUUUCUCUGUUCCUUUCUAGUUCUCUACCUGCUCCUCUUAUUUUUAUUUGAGACAGGGUCUUUCU